rnacentral:lncRNA from 1 species
GUACAUAGUAGGUGUAUAUAUUUAUGGGAUACAUGAAAUAUUUUGAUAUAGGCAUGCAGUGCAUAAUAAUCACAUCACGGAGAAGGUUUUUUUUUUGAGUCAGAGAAGUUUAAGUAAUUUUUAUGUAUAACUAAAAAAUUAAUAAUAAUAGAGAACUAAGAUCUGGGAUUGCAAGGAGAAGUUCAAGGAUGCUUAAUUCAAGGAGAAGAAGAAUGAGGACUGAAGUGAGAACAGACUAAGGUUUUUAUCUUUUUGGAGGAAAGGAUAGAAUUGAUUAAUUCUGGUCAUUGAAAAAUUUAGGGGCUGGGUGUGGUGAGUUGCGCCUAUAUCCCAAGGUCAAGGCAAGGAGGAUGGCUUGAGCCCAGGAGUUUGAGACCAGCCUGAGCAACGUAGUAAGACCUUGUCUCUAAAAAAAAAAAUACAAAAAUUAGCUGGACAUGGUGGCUCAUGCCUGUAGUUCCAGCUACUUGGGAGGCCGAAGUGGGAGGAUCGCUUGAGCCUGGAAGGUUGAAGUUGCAGUGAGCCAAGAUCACACUACCGCACUCCAGCCUGGGCAACAGAGCCAGAUGCUGUCUCAAAAAAAAAAAAAAAAAAAAAUAGAAAGAAAGAAACUUAGUUGCCACUGUAACAGUACUAAGAGAUGUGACCUUUAAGAGGUGUUUAGAUCAUGAGGGUGCCACCCUUGUGAGUGGACUAUUGUCAGACUGCAGGAAUGGGUUCUCAUUAUCACAGGAGUGGCUUCAACCCCUCUUGCUCUCUCUCCUACUUUUCUUUUCUUUUCUUUUCAGACAGAGUCUCACUCUGUCAUCCAGGCUGGAGUGCAGUGGUGCAAUCCUGACUCAUUGCAACCUCCACCUCCCAGGAGAAUCUCUUGAACCUGGGAGGCGGAGGUUGUGGUGAGCCGAGAUCAUACCACUGCACUCCAGUCUGGGUGACAGAGUGAGACCCUAUCCCAAAAAAAUUAAAAAAAAAAAAAAGAAUUAUGAACUAGACAGUGGAUCUGAAAAUAUUACACAGAAAACAAUAUUAUACAGAAUACAGUA